ensembl:lncRNA
GGUUACACAAGAGGGGAUUACGAGACGAGGGAGAAAAGACGAGGAAAGAAUGAAAUAAAGAGCGGCGCUGUGAAAGCGGAGCUGGGUUGGACAGUGGAGCAGAGAGUAGAGCCUGGUGGUGAGGAGGGGUGAGGGGAAUAUGGUGGAGGGGGGGGGGGGGUUGUUCUGUCACAGCCCCUCCAGGGUAAUUGGCUCCAGAUGUGAGGCAGCGUGGCCCCUGCGCCAGCAAGGCGUCAGGGCUGCAUUAAGAGCUCAGCCCAGGGCUGAUGGGAUCGCAGAGAGACAAGCUCACCCCUACUACCCCCCCCCACCCCAAAAAAGCACAGACUGAACCCCAUGCUGUGCUGCUGACCACUGGGCCUCCAUCAGUGCCCUUCCCACCUCUCAACCCCUGCUCAUCAUCUGCCAAAAUAACUAAGCACUGCAAUACUUCUGAAAUUGUUGUAAAAUCCCCCUUGUUUACUUACCAAAGACUUAUUUCCCCCUUCGACAGCUCACAUUCUCUCUCCGAGGCCCAUCACGUCCCAGUGACUACGGUCAUUUUGAAGUCUUAUUUUAUGCCAUUGUGGUGCUGCAAUUACGUUGACCCCCUGUGUCGGGCGAGUCCUCCCUUGAACACCACGUUCAGGUUGCUCCAAUUCGAGAGAGAAUUGGUCAGGCGCAGUUUUCAGUUUUUGUGUUGCACCCUGUGGUGCUCUGACACCCACGAGAGAAGUCAGGAACAUGACUUAGAAGUUGUAACAGUCUAUUCUUCUCUCUCCUUUUAUGAAUUACACAAAAAGCUUGAAGAAAUUGAUGUGAAGAACACCGAAUCCCGCUGUGGGAAUUGCAUCUGCUGUCUCAGGGCGAGGAAUGCUCUCGCUGUGACCCAAAAAGCAUGUUUACUGAUCGAGUGUGGAAAUCGAUUAAAGGCAGAAAAUCAGCGUAAAGUGAUGGUGGACGGAGUGAACGGAGAAAAUAGACGGGUAGAUAAAUAAAUGAGAUGGAGAGCCCUUCUUCGGUGAUGACACCCGCAUAUCGAUGGCAUUUUCUGAAGUGCAGUCCGCCACCGUGACUAACAAGGGAAACCACUCAUCAUGCCAACCAGCAUUAGGAGGCUCGUGUGAAAAGACCCCUGAACCACCUUUCAGCCAGGAAUGCCUGUUGGACCAGAUUAUGUGGGUAAACAGAAAGCAGAUGUGCGUGUUCUCAGCUUUGCUGCAGUGUCUGACUAUGGAGCAUUCUCCAUUUCCUGAAUAAAUUGACAAAGUGGAUGGCUGCCUCCAGUUCGCUAAUCUAAUCCACGAAGGCCGUGUUAUCAAACAAUAAGAUGUCAAACUGUGUAAAAG